rnacentral:tRNA from 1 species
GUGUUGGUGGCUCAGUGGUAGAAUUCUUGCCUUCCAUGCGGGAAAUCCAAGUUUGAUUCCUGGUCAAUACA